rnacentral:rRNA from 1 species
GAUGAACGCUGGCGGCGUGCCUAAUACAUGCAAGUCGAACGCUGGAGAUCUAGCUUGCUAGAUCGAAGGAGUGGCGAACGGGUGAGUAAUACAUAAGCAACCUACCCACGAAGACUGGGAUAAUCUCUGGAAACGGGGACUAAUACCGGAUAGGUAAUCGGAAGGCAUCUUCUGGUUAUUAAAGGUUAAAAACACUGGUGGAUGGGCUUAUGGCGCAUUAGUUAGUUGGUGAGGUAACGGCCCACCAAGACGAUGAUGCGUAGCCGGCCUGAGAGGGUGAACGGCCACAUUGGGACUGAGACACGGCCCAGACUGCUACGGGAGGCAGCAGUAGGGAAUGUGCGGCAAUGGGGGCAACCCUGACCGAGCAACGCCGCGUGAGUGAAGACGGCCUUCGGGUUGUAAAGCUCUGUUGUAAGGGAAGAACGGUAGAUAGAGAAUAUCUAAGUGACGGUACCUUACCAGAAAGCCACGGCUAACUACGUG